AUGUUGCACACCCUGAUACA
rnacentral:misc_RNA from 1 species